rnacentral:tRNA from 1 species
GGCCUCGUAGCUCAGCUGGUAGAGCGUGCGCGUACAAAGUGUAGGCGACGUUUGUGUGAGUUCAAAUCACACCGAGGCUA